rnacentral:tRNA from 1 species
GUGGUGCAGUUGGUAGCACUGUUGCCUGUUGCCUUGGAGCAAUAAGGUCCUGGGUUCGAUUCCCGGC